ACAUGCAAGUCGAGCAGGGAGUCUUCGGAACAAACCUAGCGGCGGACGGGUGAGUAACACGUGGGUAACCUGCCCAAAGAGGGGGAUAGCCUCCCGAAAGGGAGAUUAAUACCGCAUAACAUUAUUUUCUCGCUGAGAGAAUAAUCAAAGGAGCAAUCCGCUUUGAGAUGGACCCGCGGCGCAUUAGCUAGUGGUGAGGUAACGGCUCACCAAGGCGACGAUGCGUAGCCGACCUGAGAGGGUGAUCGGCCCAUUGGAACUGAGACACGGUCCAGACUCCUACGGGAGGCAGCAGUGGGGAAUAUUGCGCAUGGGGGAAACCCUGACGCAGCAACGCCGCGUGAGUGAUGAAGGCCUUCGGGUUGUAAAUACUUUCAGCGAGGAGGAAGGCAUUAAGGUUAAUAACCUUGGUGAUUGACGUUACUCGCGAAGAAGCACCGGCUAACUCCGUGCCAGCAGCCGCGGUAAUACGGAGGGUGCAAGCGUUAUCGGAAUUACUGGGCGUAAAGCGCACGCAGGCGGUCUGUCAAGUCGGAUGUGAAAUCCCGGGCUCAACCUGGGAACUGCAUUCGAAACUGGCAGGCUAGAGUCUUGUAGAGGGGGGUGAAUUCCAGGUGUAGCGGUGAAAUGCGUAGAGAUCUGGAGGAAUACCGGUGGCGAAGGCGCCCCCUGGACAAAGACUGACGCUCAGGUGCGAAAGCGUGGGGAGCAAACAGGAUUAGAACCCUGGUAGUCCACGCCGUAAACGAUGUCGACUUGGAGGUUGUGCCCUUGAGGCGUGGUUCCGGAGCUAACGCGUUAAGUCGACCGCCUGGGGAGUACGGCCGCAAGGUUAAAACUCAAUGAAUUGACGGGG
rnacentral:rRNA from 1 species